UAAUACUGAUAACAGAAAUCUGGAUUUUAUUUAGAUAUUCAGUCAUUAAGUAACAAUCACAUCUGCAGCAUCAUUCAGCUUUAAAAAUAUCUCUCGACUUUCAAUUUAUAGCCAAAAGAAAAAAAAUAAUAACAAUGUAAAGAUUCAGAUGUUCAAGUAAUCCUUCUCAGCCAUUUUUUAAAUAAAUAAAAAAUCAAGAGGCAGUAACAGAUUCAGAACAAUUAGUAUUCAUGUGAGGACACUGUGAAUCUGCAGCAGUUUAAAACAGGAAACAUGUCAGCUGACAUUUCCACUGACGACUACAUACAAGACAAGUUAUACUGGGAAAGGAGAGUGUCAGUAAAAUGUGCUGAGUGUAAAGUUGUCAGUCGGGGAAUAACACAGGGCUGUGAAUGAGCCCUGUCACUGUGAUCAGGCUCCUCCUUCUGAUCCACCAACUUAGUGUUGAUGAAGACUCAACAGAGAUCACAGCCUUCUUUAUACUCGCUGUAGCUCACAGUUACUCAACACUGCAGACAUGACGCCUCUGUUCAUCUCGGUGUUGCUGGCUGCUGUGUGCCUUGAAUGCAGAGCACAAAAAGACAACGUGCUGCAAACAAAAGAAGAUGUGACUGCUACUGAAGGAGAGGCAGUAACACUUGGCUGUCAAUAUAACAGCAGUUCAACAAAUGAUAAUCUCUUCUGGUACAAACAGGAUGGAGACAACAGCCCCAAAUUCAUACUGAGCCGCUUUAACACACCAGACGAGUUUAAGGAGAGAUUUUCAUCCACACUGGAUUCCACCUUAAGAUCAGUUCCUCUGAAGAUCCAGAAGCUUCAGAUGUCUAACUCUGCUGUGUACUACUGUGCUCUGCAGCCCACAGUGACAGGAAACACCAAGACUCUGUACAAAAACCUUUGGAGCAAAGACAACAGAAUACUCCACAACGUCCACUAGAGGGAGUCACACACUGUUAACCUUCAGUGAUAUGUGAUGAUACAGUCUGGAUUCUUUGUACUGAUGAUACAAACUUAAGAAAAACGUUGAGUCUUGAAAACAUUGCACAAAACAACAUCAUUUAUUCAGUCCUGUUGUUUCCAGAUUAACCAUACAGGCCUAAUGCAGAGAGUAUUUAUCACGGGUGUGAGAUGCAACAAGAAGCUGGCCAGUGUUCAACACCUGUGAAGGAAAGUGUGGUGACUGAUGAUGACCACUUGCUGGUUGAAUCCAAGCUGGCCUGAUUUCCAAUUGGACAAACAAAGCUUACUUCAACUUCCAAUAUUUUAUUCCCAACAAAGCAUUAUCACAAGUACAGGUUCACCAGGGCAUGUUUAAAGAGAUAUUAAAUAUACAUAUAAACAGCUGGCAAGUAUCCUUAAAGUAGUUUAAACACACCAGAUCUAUUUUUAGGUUACAAAGGAAAUAUCAAAGUAUCACAACACCAUUGGUAAAAACCCAUACCAACAGUAGGUGCAAUUUUCUUAAAUGGCCAUUAGGUGUCAGGUUAAGACCAUCAGGGUGAAUUAUGACAAUGAGCCACUGCCCACUACUACGAAAGAUACCUGAUCCAGAGCAGUUGGCCGUUAACAUAAGCACUUGCAAAUGUAACGUUAGCAAUAACCCAACUAGCAACAUCCUCCAUGCCGUGCAGCCCGUGUAGCAGUCUGUCGCCCACACCGGGAUCCAGUUCCGGGUGAGGGGAGUGCAGCAGCACUCCACCUUAGUCCUGCUGUGGACU